GACGAACGCUGGCGGCGUGCUUAACACAUGCAAGUCGAACGGUGAGGAGGAGCUUGCUCCUCCGAUCAGUGGCGAACGGGUGAGUAACACGUGAGUAACCUGCCCCAGACCCUGGGAUAACAGUUGGAAACAGCUGCUAAUACCGGAUACGAGACGGAGAGGCAUCUCUACCGUCUGGAAAGAUUUUAUCGGUCUGGGAUGGACUCGCGGCCUAUCAGCUUGUUGGUGAGGUAAAGGCUCACCAAGGCGACGACGGGUAGCCGGCCUGAGAGGGCGACCGGCCACACUGGGACUGAGACACGGCCCAGACUCCUACGGGAGGCAGCAGUGGGGAAUAUUGCACAAUGGGCGAAAGCCUGAUGCAGCGACGCCGCGUGAGGGAUGACGGCCU
rnacentral:rRNA from 1 species